rnacentral:sRNA from 1 species
CAUCAUUGGGUUAGAUCUGCUCUCUUCGCAAGAAGAGGGUUUCCAUACACACCGUGAACUGUGGCUUCGGCCAUCACAAACUGUUAGUAAUGAAUGUAAUAUCAUAACAAAAACAAAACUUUUAACAACGGAUCUCUUGGCUCUCGCAUCGAUGAAGAACGCAGCGAAAUGCGAUAAGUAAUGUGAAUUGCAGAAUUCAGUGAAUCAUCGAAUCUUUGAACGCACCUUGCGCCCUUUGGUAUUCCGAAGGGCAUGCCUGUUUGAGUGUCAUGAAACCUCACCCCACUUGGGUUUUUGCCUGAGCGGUGGUGUAUUGGGUGUUGCCUUGCUAAAGGCUCGCCUUAAAGACAUAAGCACCUUGGAUGUAAUACGUUUCAUCCUUCUGGGUGGCUGAUAACCCCACAUAUUCAUGAUCUGGCCUCAAAUCAGGUAGGGCUACCCGCUGAACUUAAGCAUAUAU